UCGAACCACUGUUGCGCUAACGCAACACUUAACAGUUAUGUUAAAAAAGGAGCCAAAGGCAAACAACAACUGUUAGCCAUAUGAGUUCGAUGCGAACGGCAACGUCGAACCGAAGAAAUGUUCGAUGUGAAAAGUGAAGUUGGAAUAUUGUAGAGUGCUUCGCUCGCGAUUCAAAUCGAAUUUGGACUUCGCUGUGAACGUUUCCAAAAGGCGUUCGGUCGGAAAACGGUAAAAACGGCAAAUCGGGCAAAAGGCGGGGAAGGAAAACUUCAUUUCGGAACUCGGCUUUUCGGCCUUUCGACGGGCGCGCGCGUUUCUUUGUCACUGUGUGUGUUUUUAUUAUUAUUAUUAUCAUCAUUAUUAUUAUUAUUAUUAUUGUUGCUGCUGUGCGUCGGUGUGUGUGCGUAUUUCAAGCGAGGGAGAAAUUGUUAACACAAAACAACAACAAAAAAUAGAAAAAAAAACCGGUUCCUUUAUAUCUGCUUUUGCUUCUUCUUCCUCUUCAUCGUCGUCGUCGUCGUCGUCAUCUGCAAUUGCCUUUUCGUAAUUCGUAAUAACCAAAAUCGAAAUCGAGCCUCUCGCCUUUUUUAUUUUCAUUUCGGUUUUUUGGCUCCUGAUUUUUCGGUGCGAAAAUAAAUAAAGAAACCGAAAACAACCACAAAAAAACCAUUGCAUUGCAAAAAAUUACCAAUUUUUUUUUACUGUGCGAACGAAUAUAACAAAAAAAAUAAAUUCCAACGAAUCAGUGAGUGAGAGAAAAUCAAGGAGAUAAAGUUGAGAAUUUAAGAGUCAGUGCCAAAAAAAGAAAUAUAAGGAAAAAAGUGAGCGAGAAAUACGAGAAACAAAACAAAAGUUGCAAAUUUAACGAAAAAAAAAAUAAAAUUAAAACAAGCACAAGCACCAGGAAAGAAAUACGAAAUACAAGGAAGAAAGGCAUAACUUUGGGGUUACCAACUUUGCCAGCAUCAUUGCAUCUGUUUGUUGGUUGCACAGCGCAGAGUCCAGCUUUUUAGAGUGGACCAGUUGGAAAAACAAAAGCCAGAAAAGGAAAAGCAGCAGAAACCGAAACUGCAACUGGGAAAAAGAUAGAGAGAGAGAGAGUAAAACAUAAACACACAGUUUUUUAAAACUAAAAGGAAUUCGAUUUGUUAAAGGAAUUUGCAUCAUAUUUGUGGACAAAAUCCAAAAAACAAAAGUUUGGCAACAGGAGAAGAAGAAAAACUGGAAAAAUUCUUGAAAAAAUUUCGAUGAUGCCCGACUCCUGUUGCUGUUAAACACGCUUUUGGACUUCUCUCUCUAGCGAGAAAAGGCAAGCAGAAAUCUUCCCCAACUGAAAACUCCAAACGAUCGCAGCUCUUUUGGUUUUGAUUCCAACACAAUGUAUCCGGCCAGUGGAAGUGGAGCAAGUGCAGCGACUGCGGCUGCCAAGUUUCAGAAUCGCUGCGGAUCACCGCAGUUUGCUAGCGAUUAUCCGCAUCCACAUCCGCAUCAGCAUCCAACGCAUCAGACGACAUCGGUGGCGGUGCACAGUGCCCCGUCGGGCGGAGUGAGUGGCGGGUCAAUAAGCAGCGGUGGAUCCAUGUCCAUGCGUCACGGUGGACAACGGGUGGUGGCCUCACAUCAGCAUCCCAGUCAAAUGACCCUGAAUCAUGGCGGUGGCAUGGGUCAUAAUCAUGGCAUGGGUUUGGUGGGACAUAAUCAUGGCCAUGGUCAUGCUGCAGCCACCUUGGGGCAUCCACAUUCGCAUUCGCACAAUAACAGCAGCAGCAGCAGCAGCCAUGGACACGUGGGCUCGCACCUGAUCUUUCCCGAUGACAUGGACAGCAUUGAGUUCUGUAUGCCGGCGGCGCCCUCCUCAUCGUCAGCAUCAUCACAGAAUGGUCUGGGAAUCGGAGACCAGUUGCUCAUGGGCAGUAGCAGUCAUGGUGAGGCGUUCACGGAGCGCCGAAGAAGGGGUCACAGCCGGCGUAGCAAUCACAAGAUGGAUGUGGAGCAGCAGGUCAAGUGGUCUCGCAAGAAUAUCGCCGCCACCAUGGAACGCUUUGAGCCCACGCCCAAUACACAGUCCUCGUCGUCCACUUCAUCGUUGGAUUACGGAUUUGCCGCCGGCGUAAUGACGCCAAGCAGCAGCAGUGCCACGCCAUCGCAUGGCGGUGGAGCCUCUAAUCCCUCGCUGCAUGUGGCAUUUAACGGCAGUGGUGGUGGUGGUGUUGGAGCAGUGGGUGGUGGUGGCUCAGUUUCAGCAGGAUCAGCAGGAGCAAGUGGUUCGGCGGGGGCAGCUGCACCGUCGGCGCCAUUUAAUCAUGUUUAUUCGUAUGCCUACUACGAGCCGGGAGCAGCCAAAUGCCACACGAAUGUGCCAGCUGCCCAGGGUUCGAGUUCCAGUUCCGGAUCUGUUCAGGGUCAGGCCCAUCAUCAUCAGGGCCAUUCGAAGAGUCCGCCAAGGAACUCGAUACGCGCCCUGCUGGCCAAGAGUUUCCGUUCGAAGAGCAGCACCAAUCAUGGUGGUGGUCAAUCCACUUCAAGUUCGCCCAGUGCCGAGGAACGGGAUCGUCAUACCUAUACCACACGCUACGGCACCACCGAGAAUCUGUACGAGGAGGUGAGUGAUCAGAAGAUACGCAAAGUUCUCUCCGACAACCGGAUUGCCAGUGGCUCCAGUGCGGGCAAUGUAAAGGAGGAGCAACGACGUGUCCAGCACAACCAUUUCAGAGUUCUGGACGAGCUCAAUCUCUCGCUGGAGGCACUGAUAAUGCCGCCAACUCCACCGGAUGUUAGUCCCAGUCAUGUUCUGGGCGGCGAUGAGCCAAGUACAUCGGUGGUAUCCGCCGGAGCUGUGGGUGGAUCGGUGACAUCGAGUGUGGUGGCGGGACCCUCGAAGACCGCUCAGAGGCCCAGACGCGGUGGCCUGUUGGGUGGAGCUGCUGGUGCCGGUGGCACUUCGAACUCAAGCUCCGCUUCGCAUGCCAGCUUGGAGAACCUAUCGAGCACCCUGAACAGCAUGGAGCUCAAGGAUCACGGUCACAGCAGCUGCAUCAAUCCGGAGUUUGAUGAGGGAGAUCUUGAUUCCGGAUUCAGUGGCAGUGGCAGCAGCAGCGGUGCCAGCUAUAAUGAGAGUCUGCGGUACUAUAAGUCCGCCACACCCACCGGACCGAUGCACCAUCAUCACAACCAGCACCAGCAGGCGUUGCAUCAUCACAGCCUGAACAACAACACCUUGCCCCAUAAUCUGCGCAGCUGCCGAUCCUCGACAGCCUCGGGUACUUCAACAUCCAAGAGCAGCAUGGCCAGUUGUGGCGAAGAUCAGGGCAUUGGCAUGACUUUGGCGCCCAUGCAUGAAUCGUCAGGCGGUGUGGGCGGUGGAUCGCUGUCGCCUUUUAACUAUCCGCGACGUUGCUCAGCGGAUCAGCAACGUGCCUCGGGACGAUCAAUGGGCAUGGGACCCGGUGUGGGUAUGCCCGUUGGCGGUAUGAAUGGAGGCGGUGGAGGCACCGGUGGUGGCAUUGGCAUUGGCAUUGGAGGAGGCAUGACCAUGAGCAGCAGCAGCAAUGUGGCACUGUCCACCGGAACGAAACCCAAGAAGAACUUCUGGACCAUGAAACCGUGAUGCUACAAAAAGGCGCUGCGUCACAUUUGCAAGAAAUGGACUAUUGUUAUGGAAUACAAUACAAAGACUGCCUCAUGCCAUGCCAUCCAUUAUUACCAUCAACCCAAUAGCGGCAGCAGCUAUGGUAACUAUAGUAGCCGU